rnacentral:rRNA from 1 species
UACGUAGGUGGCAAGCGUUGUCCGGAAUUAUUGGGCGUAAAGCGCGCGCAGGCGGUCCCUUAAGUCUGAUGUGAAAGUCCACGGCUCAACCGUGGAGGGUCAUUGGAAACUGGGGGACUUGAGUACAGAAGAGGAAAGCGGAAUUCCACGUGUAGCGGUGAAAUGCGUAGAGAUGUGGAGGAACACCAGUGGCGAAGGCGACUUUCUGGUCUGUAACUGACGCUGAGGCGCGAAAGCGUGGGGAGCAAACAGG